GUGAUCUUGGAGAAAGAAAAAACGCCCCCCGGUAAACUCUCACGCCCAUUAUUUCUCAACCCUAACACUUUUCAGAUCUCAAAUUCGCAUUCACCGUUUUCAUCUCCUUAGUUCAUCUAUUUUGCUCAGCAAUUCUUCAUUUUUCUAUGUUGCGUUUCUCUAUCUCGCUACCUCUCAACUUGCAGAUCUUGUGAGCUACCUUGCAAUUUAGGGUCUUUUGCUAGAUUUUGCUUGAAGGCUAUAUCUUUAAUUUGUGAUGAACGACAACCGCAACAACAGCCGGUGGAGAGUAUGAGAAAUAUGAUGUAUUCUGGAGAUAGUCUGUGGCAAAAAGAACAACAAGACAAUUUCUCAAGUUUCCUAUGAUAUGUGUGUGAGCCGCUUUCAUUGAUAGUUGAUCAUCUUCCUGUAGCGGUGAACUUUGCAUUCUUCACUUGCGGAUACCGUUGUGAUCCAAGUGCUUUGAGGAGGUCAUAGUGAAUGGCCGAAUGACUGUUACAUUAUACAAAUGGAGAGUGCCGUCCAAAAGGGUGGAGGAGUUGGUGUCAUGCAGUUAUAAGUGAAUAAUCAUCAUCCAGGGGUGCUGGGGUAAGAGAUGAUAAAACUAAUAAUCUGUGUCAGUCCUGUAUCUGUUUUUCAUGUGUGAAAAUGAGAUUGCUUGUUUUCUAUUCUUCUUCUCUUAAGCAAUGGUAGUUUUCAUUUCAUUUAUUUGUAGGAUUAGUUGCAAUUUUUUUGUUACAUGACUUCAGAUGAUACUUUGAAGAGUCUUAGAGAUACAAAUUCAUUUUAAAAAAUGGAAUUCGAACUUUAAUGGGUUAUCAUUAAACAGCUUCAUGAUAAACAAAUUCUCUCUUAGGCAUAGAGAGCCCAGCCUAGCAACCAAUGUGAAUCAAACCCUUCACUACAACAAAACCCGCAAUUUCUCGACUAAAGGGCCUCGACGCCACUAACGACCUUCACAGUUAUUUUAGUGCGUGGCCCAAUAAAAAUCAAUUCUCAACGCAGUUACGAGUUGAUAUGUCGGAGUAUAUUUUUUCCUUAACGCUACCUUUCCUUUCCCCAAUUUUCACGAUCUGCGAAGCCUAAACCCUAACAGUGCUGCUCUUCCUUCUUCUCUUCAGAACUAUAUCAAUUUGUUGCUAGCGAUUUUUCUAGAGUUGUUCCUCUCAUUUUCAGAUCUACAUCAAUCUAUUACUCACGAUUUUCUGUAGUUUUUCUCUUCUUUCCUCGGUUCUAUGUCUCAACUAUUUAAGUUCAUCUCUGACAUUCGAUUUUAUAAGUACCACACCAGAUUUCUCUUCAGCUAAGGUUGUUCUGUUGUUUCCGAUUUCAUCUGAUUGGAUUUUAUUUUGGCUUUUGAUUUCAGUAAAGUUAGGGUUCUUAAUAAUGAUUAUGUGUUCUCUUCUCUCAUGGAAACCUCUUUGAUCUAUAUUGAUAGCGUUUAACCGUAGAAGAGAAACAUUGUUCACAUAACAAACACUCUUCAAUCUGUAACAUUAAACCUAACACUCUCUAAGAUUUUUUUUAAAUGUAACUAAUUAUUUAAUGUAAUAUUUGGGUAUGUUUUCUUCAAGUUGGGGUUAUAUUUUGUGCAUUUAGAUAAUAAAUGUAAUAUUUUCUUGAUAUUUUUGGAAGAAUAUUAAUUUCUUUCCUGAUUUCAGAUACCAGAUCAUUGAGGUGCCCUUCUUUUUUUUUGAGGUAAUUUGUAACGAAAAGUGGAUUAUGUUUUGAUGUGUUGCUUAUUUCUCCUAUUUUUGCUUUGUUGUCCUCCUAAUUGAGGUUGUAUGAAGUAUUCCUUGAGGCAGACUUUUCUGAUCUUCAGCUGUUUAUCACUUAGUGAUUGAUCUUUGCUUUGACAGCCUAGAACAUGUACGAUUGUUUGCUGCCAGUGUUCAUUUUUUUCUGCAAAAAUGUUACUUCGUUAUUUGGCCAAGGCAAAACAUGGCAGCUAGUGGACUACUCAAGAUUACAACUGUUUUUAGCCUUGGAAGCAUCUCAGACGUUCAUCUAGUGGUGCAUAUUUGCAGGCUUCUUUAAUGAUAGUUGUUACUACAACUGAGCAUCAACUUGUAAAUUCGUUAACAUAUAUAGAGAAUCUUCGCUUCAAGUUUUACUUGUAUUUUUCGGUGAUAUUAUUAAUCUUUGUGAUUCAUUCAUAUCAUUGUUGGACAGAUUGGUUCUAGUCUUAUAAGUUAUGUGGUACUAAAUUUUAUUUAUGAGAAUAAAUUUUGAUUUUGUAGCA